rnacentral:lncRNA from 1 species
GGCCGUUUUUUUAAUGAUUAUUUGAUUAUUAAGCCAAAUAUUUCAUGAUUAUUUGAUUACCUAGGACUGUAUUUUUAGUUUAUGAUUAUUUGAUUACUAAAGAUAAGCAAAUAUUUAAUGAUUAUGUGAUUAUAUUGGCAAAAAAAUGGUGAUUAUGUGAUUACUAGGACCCCCCCCAUGAGGGGCCUCAUUUAUGUGUAACGAA